rnacentral:rRNA from 1 species
GAUGAACGCUGGCGGCGUGCCUAAUACAUGCAAGUCGAGCGAAUGGAUUAAGAGCUUGCUCUUAUGAAGUUAGCGGCGGACGGGUGAGUAACACGUGGGUAACCUGCCCAUAAGACUGGGAUAACUCCGGGAAACCGGGGCUAAUACCGGAUAACAUUUUGAACCGCAUGGUUCGAAAUUGAAAGGCGGCUUCGGCUGUCACUUAUGGAUGGACCCGCGUCGCAUUAGCUAGUUGGUGAGGUAACGGCCCACCAAGGCAACGAUGCGUAGCCGACCUGAGAGGGUGAUCGGCAACACUGGGACUGGGACACUGCACAGACUCCUACGGGAGGCAGCAGUAGGGAAUCUUCCGCAAUGGACGAAAGUCUGACGGAGCAACGCCGCGUGAGUGAUGAAGGCUUUCGGGUCGUAAAACUCUGUUGUUAGGGAAGAACAAGUGCUGGUUGAAUAAGCUGGCACCUUGACGGUACCUAACCAGAAAGCCACGGCUAACUACGUGCCAGCCGCCGCGGUAA